rnacentral:rRNA from 1 species
AACGUAGGGGACGAGCGUUGUCCGGAUUUAUUGGGCGUAAAGAGCGCGCAGGCGGCUUCGCAAGUCGGGUGUGAAAAUCCGGGGCUCAACCCCGGACCUGCAUUCGAUACUGCGUGGCUAGAGGCAGGCAGGGGAGAUCGGAAUUCCUGGUGUAGCGGUGAAAUGCGCAGAUAUCAGGAGGAACACCGGUGGCGAAGGCGGAUCUCUGGGCCUGUCCUGACGCUCAGGCGCGAAAGCAUGGGGAGCGAACAGG